AAGGAAUAUGCUGAUGAAAAUGGCUGAAGGAAAUUGCAAGGUACAUGUUCAAGUGCAGAGAGCUAAGAAUUUCCCAAAGAGACAAGAGUAUGCUUGUUAGGGAAGUAUACAUGCUACAUUGUAAAACCUUGUUGAGAUUUUCUAAUGGAAUCUUCUGCUUGAAGUGUUGAUGCGAUGUGUCGUAGUAAUAAUAUCUUUUUCUAUCAGUUUGCAUGAUCAUGAGCAGAGAGCUAAGAAUUUCCCAAAGAGACAAGAGUAUGCUUGUUAGGGAAGUAGACGUGCUACAUUGUAGAACCAUGUUGAGAUUUUCUAAUGGAAUCUUCUGCUUGAAGUGUUGAUGUGAUGUGUUGUAGUAAUAAUAUCUUUUUCUAUCGGUUUAAGAACAGUUUUCAAGUUAUAUAUUUGUAAGUUAUGAUCUUUGGGUGAGCUUAUGCAUCAUAGUGGUCGUGACAUUGGUGGAGCUCACAACAUUGCACAAUCCAGUCCUGCAUGUGCCUUUUACCAUAUGCAAUCUUUAGGCAACUUAGAUGUACUUUUGAAUUGUCUUCAAAGGAUGUUCUGGAAAACACUUCUCAUAUAUCUUCAAUUAUUGUGGCAGA
rnacentral:lncRNA from 1 species